rnacentral:rRNA from 1 species
UACGGGGGGGGCAAGCGUUGUUCGGAAUUACUGGGCGUAAAGGGCGCGUAGGCGGUCUUUUAAGUCUUGUGUGAAAUCCCUCGGCUCAACUGAGGAACUGCACGGGAUACUGGAAGACUUGAGUUCGGGAGAGGGAAGCGGAAUUCCGGGUGUAGCGGUGAAAUGCGUAGAUAUCCGGAGGAACACCGGUGGCGAAGGCGGCUUCCUGGACCGAUUACUGACGCUGAGGCGCGAAAGCUAGGGGAGCAAACAGG